AAAAUAAAAAUAAAAGCGUAAAUCUAAUAGCCACGUCGACUGAUUAACACGUUCGUUAAAACACAAAGCUUCGCUAAUUGCACAAUAAAACAAACAUCCGCACUACACGUUCCUCGUGUUUAGCGAGCUAAGCUAACGGCAAGCUAGCUCACGCGCAUCUUAAAGUAGGUCAAACAAUACACCCCUCCCCCAUCAACGCGCUCGCGCUAACUACCCGAGCUAGCCAGCCUAGCCAACCUAACGACGACGCCGCAUUUGACAAUCCGAAAGCACGACUUUACUAUAUAACGUGCAAAUCCGACACACAUACUGUUGCGAUAUUUUUUUUUUUUUAACCACGCUGCCAUAACGUGUUUUAAUUUGGACGACCUGGCUGUAACGAGCCUGCCAAAUUAUUCUGUAAGGAACAGGCCUACAGAAGAAUAGAAGUCACCAUGUCUUCACUCAUUUGAAAGACUAGGGAGCCGAUCCCUGACUUCAGGAAGCAGAGUGUGACCCACAGAUUCAUCAUCAUAAAUGAAAGUACUGCUGAGAGAAGUGACUGCUUCAAGUUCCUUGGAGUCCAGAUAAGCCAAGACCUCACAUGUGCCUUACACACUUGCACCCUCAGCACGAUAGCCACCUGUGCCUACAUUUCCUCAGGCAGCUGAGAAAGAUCAUCCUGCACUUUCAGAUCCUUAGUAAUCUCCACAGCUUUCUACAGAUGCAUGUUAGAAAGCAUACUAUCUGUAGGAUAGUUUAAUACAGUAGAUCUACUGUGUCUGACUGCAGGCUCUGGAGAAGCUGGUCAGAGCAGCUAGAGCAUCACUGAGAGAACAGUGCCGACAUCAGCCAUAGCCGACAUUUAUGAACAGAGAUGUCUGAGGAGAGCUCUCAGUAUCCCCAGGGAUGACAUACACUCUAAAUACCACCUAUUCACUCUCCUACCUUUAUGCAGGAGGUACUAGAUUAUCCAGUCACAAAAACAGGGACAGUUUCUACUGUCCUAAAUUCCCAAUUAGCUGGCUUUAAAGUUGUAAAUCCAAAUAGCAAAUAAAGAUGCAGACUCAAAAAUUAAUUGAACAGAAUAGCCGGUCCCAUUCUUUAUUGCAAGUUAAGGAUAAGUUAAGGAUCCAGAGAAUGUCUGACAUUUACACAGGAGUUAAAUUUUUCCAAGGGCAAUUAUAUAAUUGUCCCACCUUUUUUUUACAUAUUGAUCUUUGAAGUUUCCACCAUUAUAUCCAAAUAAUGCAUUAUUUACCAUUAUGCAGAUUGAUAUUCAAUACUUUAUAACAGUUGGAAUUUGGUACCAUUAUAUUCAGAUAAAAGACUUCUCAUUUAAAACAAAAAAUCUCAUUUUGACCACCUACUAUUUAUAACUGUUUUUUGUACCACUUGGUACCUGUUGCUAAAACAAACCAGAAUAAUCUGCCUUACUCCUGCUCAGUGGCCUUGAAGUUCUCUGCACUAUAUCCUGAGAUACCCACCGAAACAUUAUAAAUCUUGAUGCUUUCAAACACACUUUUGUACUACCCUACACCUGGUACAGAGACCCUCGAAGGCCAAUAUACUGAAAUCACAGAUCACCUUAUAGAAUACAGGAUAAUAUUUAGCUGACUGCUUUAACCUUCUUUUACCUAAAAUAUUUUAUUACAUCACUUCCUCAGAGCUGU